AGAGUUUGAUCCUGGCUCAGAUUGAACGCUGGCGGUAUGCUUAACACAUGCAAGUCGAACGGUAACGGUCCUUCGGGAGCCGACGAGUGGCGGACGGGUGUGUAACGCGUAGGAAUCUGCCUGGUAGUGGGGGACAACUCGGAGAAAUCCGAGCUAAUACCGCAUACGCCCUGAGGGGGAAAGCGGGGGAUCUUCGGACCUCGCGCUAUCAGAUGAGCCUGCGUUGGAUUAGCUAGUUGGUGGGGUAAAGGCCUACCAAGGCGACGAUCCAUAGCUGGUCUGAGAGGACGAUCAGCCACACUGGGACUGAGACACGGCCCAGACUCCUACGGGAGGCAGCAGUGGGGAAUAUUGGACAAUGGGCGCAAGCCUGAUCCAGCAAUACCGCGUGUGUGAAGAAGGCCUGAGGGUUGUAAAGCACUUUCAAUAGGGAGGAAAAAGCGUUGGUUAAUAGCCGAUGCCUUGACAUUACCUAUAGAAGAAGCACCGGCUAACUCCGUGCCAGCAGCCGCGGUAAUACGGAGGGUGCGAGCGUUAAUCGGAAUUACUGGGCGUAAAGCGUGCGUAGGCGGUUAUUUAAGUCAGAUGUGAAAGCCCCGGGCUUAACCUGGGAACGGCAUUUGAUACUGGGUAACUUGAGUUUAGGAGAGGAGAGUGGAAUUUCCGGUGUAGCGGUGAAAUGCGUAGAGAUCGGAAGGAACACCAGUGGCGAAGGCGGCUCUCUGGCCUAAAACUGACGCUGAGGUACGAAAGCGUGGGUAGCAAACAGGAUUAGAUACCCUGUAGUCCACGCCGUAAACGAUGUCAACUAGCCGUUGGGGUCUUUAUUAAGACUUAGUGGUGCAGCUAACGCAUUAAGUUGACCGCCCUGGGGGGGUACGGGC
rnacentral:rRNA from 1 species